AUGCUUGCCUCAGCAGCAUAAAUACUAAAAUUAGAAUGAUAAAGAAAAGAUUGGCAUAGCUCCUAUACAAGAACAACACAUAAACUCAUGAAGCACUGUAUAUAUUA
rnacentral:snRNA from 1 species